AAAGUGUUCGUAGACGGGAAUGCAAGUUGGUUGUGAAAUCCCUCGGCUUAACUGAGGAACUGCAACCAAAACUACAUUUCGUGAGUGCUGGAGAGGAAAGUGGAAUUCCUAGUGUAGCGGUGAGAUGCGUAGAUAUUAGGAGGAACACCAGUGGCGAAGGCGACUUUCUGGACAGUAACUGACGUUGAGGCACGAAAGUGUGGGGAGCAAACAGG
rnacentral:rRNA from 1 species